rnacentral:rRNA from 1 species
GACGUAGGGGGCGAGCGUUGUCCGGAUUUACUGGGCGUAAAGAGCGCGCAGGCGGUCGUUCAAGUCGCGUGUGAAAGCCCCCGGCUCAACUGGGGAGGGUCACGCGAUACUGAUCGACUCGAAGGCAGGAGAGGGAAGUGGAAUUCCCGGUGUAGUGGUGAAAUGCGUAGAUAUCGGGAGGAACACCAGUGGCGAAGGCGACUUCCUGGCCUGUUCUUGACGCUGAGGCGCGAAAGCUAGGGGAGCAAACGGG